AAAAAGACAAACCCUGGGUUUCCGUGUCCAACAUUUGACUGUUCGUCUUAUAUGAAAUUUUUUUAUAAUUAGUAUUUUCAUUGUUGUUAGAUGAUAAAACAUGCUUAAUACUUUAUGCGUGACUUGUCUUUUUAAUUUUUUUCAUAAUUUUUUCAAAUAAGACGGAUGAUAAAACUUGGACACGGAAACCCAGUGUUUGUCUUUUU
rnacentral:pre_miRNA from 1 species